GCCCUUGGAAGGGAUGUAUUUAUUAGAUUAAAAACCAAUGCCCUUCGGGGCUCACUGGUGAUUCAUGAUAACUCCUCGAAUCGCAUGGCCUUGUGCCGGUGAUGGUUCAUUCAAAUUUCUUCCCUAUCAACUUUCGAUGUUUGGGUAUUGGCCAAACAUGGUUGCAACGGGUAACGGAGGGUUAGGGCUCGACCCCGGAGAAGGAGCCUGAGAAACGGCUACUACAUCCAAGGAAGGCAGCAGGCGCGCAAAUUACCCAAUCCCGACACGGGGAGGUAGUGACAAUAAAUACUGAUACAGGGCUCUUUUGGGUCUUGUAAUUGGAAUGAGUACAAUUUAAAUCCCUUAACGAGGAACAAUUGGAGGGCAAGUCUGGUGCCAGCAGCCGCGGUAAUUCCAGCUCCAAUAGCGUAUAUUAAAGUUGUUGUGGUUAAAAAGCUCGUAGUUGAACCUUGGGCCUGGCUGGCCGGUCCGCCUCACCGCGUGUACUGGUCCGGCCGGGCCUUUCCCUCUGUGGAACCCCAUGCCCUUCACUGGGUGUGGCGGGGAACCGGACUUUUACAAGGGC
rnacentral:rRNA from 1 species